AGGGUGUAAACGCUGCAGACUUGGUGUUGGAAAUCCUUCGAGGGUAUUCAGUGCCGGAGAGAAGUUGUUAAGUCUGCUACUUGGGGAGUACGUCCGCAAGGAUGAAACUUAAAGGAAUUGGCGGGGGAGCACCGCAACGGGAGGAGCGUGCGGUUUAAUUGGAUUCAACACCGGAAAACUCACCAGGGGAGACUGUUACAUGAAACCCAGACUAAUGAUCUUGGUGAUUUUCAGAGAGGAGGUGCAUGGCGUCAGUGACU
rnacentral:rRNA from 1 species